GUAACCUUCAAUGUUUUGAAUUGGACUUCCUCGAAUUAAUCCGGCUAAAAUAGCUAAAUGGCCGUUGUGGACCCCAUCCUCAAUUGCAGUUAUUUCUUUAAUUGACGUGUCGUGUGCAAAAAGGAGAUAAGGGCGGCGUAGUAACGCCGUCGGCCGCCAGGAGAGCACUGAUCUCACCCCGACUCGGGUCAUAGUGUAGUCCGGGAAAUCAUCCCCGUCCACUUCCCAACGCCCUCCUUUAAAGCAACUAUACGAGAAAAAUAGUAACCCUCUCGAAAUCAAAGGGGGCACAAAAGACAUCAUCGGCUUGGCAUUCGGAAGCUGUAUCGAAUUUUGGGGCUGUUACAAAAGCACAACCUCUUUUUACGUUGGUAACCCCAUUAACUUUAUGGAUUCGUUUAAUACAAGCCGGUUGGUUAUUUGCAGAAUCCGCACUGUUCCCACAAGUUACGAUUUUAUCACAAACUUCAUCUUUAUUCCCACUACAAUCAUAGCAUUGCAAUGAAUAAACUAAAAAAGAAUAAUUUCAUCUGAUUCUUCGUUCCCACCUUGAAACGUUUAAGCUGUUAUUUAUUCCAUUACGUCACCGCAUGAUUUCACAGGUGGGUAUAAAAAAUUAAUUCCAUUUAAGGUCAAUC